UGGUGGAGUGAUUUGUCUGGUUAAUUCCGAUAACGAACGAGACCUUAACCUGCUAACUAGCCCGGCCGACCUUGGUUGACCGCUGGCUUCUUAGAGGGACGAUUAGCGUUUAGCUAAUGGAAGUUUGAGGCAAUAACA
rnacentral:rRNA from 1 species